AUGUUUCCUGUAGCUCUGCUGCUCCUGAUGGCAGCUGGAAACUGUGUGAAGUGUGAACAGUUGACUCAGCCACAAUCUGUGACUGUGCAGCCAGAUCAACGUCUCUCCAUCACCUGUCAGGUCUCUUAUUCUGUGAGCACCUACGGCACACACUGGAUCAGACAACCUGCAGGAAAAGGACUGGAGUGGAUUGGUUAUGACACAACCUUUAAAGAUUCACUGAAGAACAAGUUCAGUGGCAUCGAAGAUUCUUCCAGCAACAGAGUGACUCUGAAUGGACAGAAUAUGCAGCCUGAAGACUCUGCUGUGUAUUACUGUGCCAGACUGCUCGGGGUCAGUCCCUCACCUCGUCAGAUCCACUGGUCAGCAGAGCAGGACAAUCAGUCACUCUGUCUUGUAAAGUUCAAGGACUCUCUCGGGCUUGGCUGCACUGGAUCCGUCAGAAACCAGGACAAGCACUGGAAUGGAUCGGACGCAUUGACGGUGGAACUGGAACGAUAUUCUCUCAAAGUCUCCAAGGACAGUUUUCCAUCACCAAAGACACUUCUCUAA